UCGACGGCAGCAAGAGGACUUGCUCCUUGUGUGGCCAGUGGGGGACGGGUGAGGAAUAAUCUGACUCUACUUUGUCGUGGGGGAUAACGUAGGAAAGCUUACACUAAUACCGCACACCACCUACAGGUGAAAGCUCGGCACCCUCGGCCCUUGCGCGAUUGAAUGAGCCGAAUUCGGAUUAUCUAGUUGUCGGGGUAAAGGCCCACCACGGUCACUAUCCGUACCUGGUCUGAGAGGAUGAUCACCCACACUGAAACUGAGACCCGGUCCAUACUCCUACGGGAGGCGGCAAUGGGGAAAAUUGGACAAUGGGCGCAAUCCUGAUCCGCCCAUACCGUGUGGGUGAACAAAGCCUUCGGGUUGUAUUUCCCUUUUGUUGAGAAAAAAUUCCUUCUGGCUAAUACCCGGUUGAGAUGACUGUACCAAAAAAAUACGCACCGGCUAACUUCGUGCCCCCCGCCGCUGUAAUAGGAGGGGUGCUUGCUUUACUCUAAAUUACUGGGCGUACAGCGUGCCUACGUGGUCGUUUAAAUGCGUUGUGACCGACCUGGGCUCGACAUGUGAACUGCAUUGGAUACAGCUCGACUAUAGUGUAGUAUGGGGGUAGCUCAAUUCGUGGUGUAGCAGUGAAAUGAGAACAGAUCGAGAAGAACUUGCGUGGGGAACGCUCCUACCUAGACCAGCACCGACACUGAGGCACCAAGGCGUGCAGAGCAGACAAGAUAACAUGGUCUGGUAUGCCACGCCCUAUACGAUGCAAACUGGGAGGUUGGGUGCAGGUUUGACACGCACCUAUCUAAAGCUAACACGUAUACCUUCCCCGGGCAGGGCGAGUACCGGUCAGCUAAGACUGCAACUGCAAAUGAAGUGACCGGCGCGCCCGCAGCAGGCAGCUGGAGUUUGUUAGUUUAAUUCGAUGCAACGCACCAUACCCUGACCUGGCCUUGACAUGACCUAUAACU
rnacentral:rRNA from 1 species